CGUCGCCGCGGUAACACAGAGGGUGCGAGCGUUAAUCGGAUUUACUGGGCGUAAAGCGCACGCAGGCGGUCUGACAAGUCAGAUGUGAAAUCCCCGGGCUUAACCUGGGAACUGCAUUUGAAACUGUCAGGCUGGAGUCUUGUAGAGGGGGGUAGAAUUCCAGGUGUAGCGGUGAAAUGCGUAGAGAUCUGGAGGAAUACCGGUGGCGAAGGCGGCCCCCUGGACAAAGACUGACGCUCAGGUGCGAAAGCGUGGGGAGCAAACAGGAUUAGAUACCCGCGUAGUCCCUGUCUCUUAUACA
rnacentral:rRNA from 1 species